GAGGUCUUAGCUUAAUUAAAGUGUCUGAGUUGCAGUCAGGUGAUGCAGUGUAAAAUUCUGCAGGUCUC
rnacentral:tRNA from 1 species